CAGGAAGGCCAUCAAACAUAUAUUUGUUUGCUGCGUUUUUGUGACAAGCAAAGAGGUCAAAAGUGGUGGGAUAGUAACCAAUUGUAGAAAGUUUUCUUGAUUUGUUUUGCGGCUGCUUCAUACAAAGAGGGAGUUAUCCAAAAAAAAAAAAAAA